AGUUAUUACUGAACAUGUGUGAUGUGAGAACAUUGAGAUCCUCUGCCAUUCAUUAUAGCAAAUGUCAAGUGGGUGUUGUGUGGAACUGAGAGAGACCAAUCUUGAGAGAACAUCCGCCUUCAAUAAGUGGAACUGCAGAUUACACAAAGCUGCAGGCAUAAAAGCAGCUACAAAAGAAAGUUCACUCUGAAAAUGAAACAAUUUUCUCUAGAAAAAUGAACAUGAAAGUUAAACAGCCAUCCUCACCCUUGCCUGGAAGACCUGAGAAAGGAGGUGGAGAGAAAAGUGUCCACUCUUUGGUCUCUGCAUGGGUGACAAUCAUUGUAGGUGGGGGACCACUAUACCAACUGAUAGAAGUGCCUGAAAAUGUUCCCAGGCUCUGCUGCUGGACCAGAAAACAAACCCUGUUCCUGCUAAUAAAUUCCAUCAUUCUCUGUAA